AGCAGCCGCGGUAACUCCAGCUCCAAUAGCGUAUAUUAAAGUUGUUGCAGUUAAAAAGCUCGUAGUUGAACUUCAGGCCUGUCCAGACGGUCCGCCUUAAUUGGUGUGUACUGUCCUUGGGUGGGUCCUACCUUCUGGCGAAGCGGCAUGGCCUUAAUUGGUUGUGUCGGGGAACCAGGACUUUUACUGUGAAGAAAUUAGAGUGUUCAAAGCAGGCAAAUAUGCUCGAAUACAUUAGCAUGGAAUAAUGGAAUAGGACGAUGGUUCUAUUUUGUUGGUUCUAGGACCGUUGUAAUGAUUAAUAGGGAUAGUUGGGGGCAUUAGUAUUCAAUUGUCAGAGGUGAAAUUCUUGGAUUUAUUGAAGACUAACUACUGCGAAAGCAUUUGCCAAGGAUGUUUUCAUUAAUCAAGAACGAAAGUUAGGGGAUCGAAGACGAUCAGGUACCGUCGUAGUCUUAACCAUAAACUAUGCCGACUAGGAAUCGGGCGAUGUUGAAAAAAUGACUCGCUCGGCACCUC
rnacentral:rRNA from 1 species